AAAUAACUGGAAGUUAACUGUCCUUGAAUUAAGAUGACAUUUUAUAAAACGAUUGCAUAACAAAGGAACUGAAAGAAGUUUAUAUUUAACCCAAUCUAAAUGGAAAUCAUUUGGAAUUGCAUGAAAAACUAAAAAUGUGGAUAAUACUUGUAUUACACAAGUCUCAGUGGAGUGAAACAUACGGGAGUUGAAUGUCGUAUACUUGAUUUUAUUUAAAGAUUAUGUAACAGGUGAUUUAUCUAUAAUCAGAAUCUGCACUUUCCUCGGUUGAAAGCAUACUAUUAAUCAACUUCACUCUAAUUGAAAUGACAUUUUAGUAAGUUCUUGAUUGGUGUCUAUUUAAUAUUUUAUAUUCUCUGUUUAAUAUAUUCUUUUCAUUAUCGAUAUAGAUUCAAAUGCACAGCGAGGGAAUUGAUAAGGAUAAUAAUUAACAAAUCUACAUGGAAAUCAGUCGGAAUUGAAAGAAAAAUUAACUACAUAUGUGGAUAAUAAGUCUCCGUGGAAUGAAAGCAAAAGUCGAUUGGAAAAUUAACCUAAUGUAAUUGUUUGGAAAUACUAUAGCGAAAAUGAUCUGUGGAGAUCAGAUGGAAGCAUGAUGCCUUUAUCUCUAUUUAUUUCCCAUUAUUCACUAUAAAUGGGU